rnacentral:rRNA from 1 species
CCUACGGGAGGCAGCAGUGAGGAAUAUUGGUCAAUGGGCGGAAGCCUGAACCAGCCAAGUCGCGUGAGGGAUUAAGGCCCUGCGGGUCGUAAACCUCUUUUGUCGGGGAGCAAAAAGGCUCUGCGGAGUCGUAUUGAGAGUACCCGAAGAAAAAGCAUCGGCUAACUCCGUGCCAGCAGCCGCGGUAAUACGGAGGAUGCGAGCGUUAUCCGGAUUUAUUGGGUUUAAAGGGUGCGCAGGCGGCGUGUCAAGCAAGCGGUAAAAUAGCGGGGCUCAACCCCGUCGAGCCGUUUGAACUGGCGCGCUUGAGUUCAGGCGAGGUAGGCGGAAUUCGUGGUGUAGCGGUGAAAUGCAUAGAUAUCACGAAGAACUCCGAUUGCGAAGGCAGCUUACCAGUCUGCGACUGACGCUCAGGCACGAAAGUGUGGGUAUCGAACAGGAUUAGAUACCCGGGUAGUC